rnacentral:lncRNA from 1 species
GUUCUGCUACCUGGACAUGGCAAAAAUUACAUUUUGCCAUGUCACCAGGUUCACACGACAUGAGACACAUCCUGUGUGUUGUACAUUAUAGACAAAGCCUGUUUGUUCAGGGUUCUCAGCACCUUUCUUUUGUGCAAGCUGACAAAGGAACUGGUUCGAAAUAGAAAAGCAAAGAAAAGAAAGAGUGGAAGGAGGAGGGGAAAGAGAGAAAGAGAAGGGAGAGAGAGAAAGAAGGGAGAUAGAGAAAGCUUGGCCAUACCUGCUUCUUCUCUACCUUGAGAGCAUCCUCCCCCCGAAGACGUGGCAAUAAAUCCUUUGCCCUAAACUCCUAACCACCUCUUGAAGUUGCGGGCAAUGUGAAAUCAAGCAAAAGGACACCCUAUCCCCCUCUCUAAUAACCUAGGGUGUUGGGUAAUUGGAGACCCGAGAGAGAAACAGAAAGAAAAAGAGCAGUGGGAUUUAACAUCACAAUCAGAUAGGUGAAGCAAAUAAACAUGCACCCCUACUUUCUGCCUAUACCGGCCUGCAAACAAGUCACAACUAAACUAACAUGGACCUAUAAAAAAUUGCAGCCCAAAAUUAUUGCUUACCUACAGUCUCAAUAUUUUUUGAAGCCCACAUAAUUUCAAAUAAAUCCCAAGACCAUAUUCCGUAUCACAGUUAAAUUAUGCAGACGUGUUGUCGUGUCCAGGCUUUUAGAUAUGUUGUGUCAAAUUCUUCAGGACACUUGGCAGCGUGAUGCCCCUGUCCCAUGUUCAGAAAACAUUUUCGACAUAUAAUAUCCAAGAUAGGUCCCUUUUAUCGGUUUGCUAUAUUUCGAAUGAUAUAACGGUAAAAUGAUUAACCCAGGUUCUUCAUUGUUAUUAUGGUGCUGUUGUGUUGUUCCUUAAAAUAUAAGAUGGGUUUAGAAUGCCAUCAUACCCAUAAACAAAAAAAAAAAUACUCAAACAGCCUAAAAAUUUAGAAUAGUGUGAGCUAUAUUUGAAUUUGAUUUUAAUUUAGGAGCUUGUCCCAGUAAAUCAACAAAGUUCAUAAACAAUUUUGUAUCCUGAUCUAAAGCAUUACAAAAGUGUUCCUGGAUUUUCCCUAAGGCUAAUCUUUAUUGUGGCCAGUUUUUAUAGUACGAUUUUUCUGCCAUAACCCAUGAGACAGUUAUUUCAAUAUAUUUCCACAAGGAUGUUCCUAAAGAAGCAAUCCAUUCCUACAAUUUUUUAAACUGUGGUAAUUUCUACCCAAAAAAAAGGGCCCUUCUGGACAAAUGGCAAUUUUUAACCUAGUCCAUAUAAGAAUCCAAGGAAAAAGACCAAUAUUCUCUUCACUUUCUAAAGUCAAAAGUGAUAUAUAGGUGACAAAACUAUCUGGAAACAUGUAUAGUAUAAUUAACGACGUACCACCCAACAUGUUCGCUCUCUGAAAUUUUAAUGCACAUGAAGAAAACAAAAUGAAAAUUGAAUAUGAUGGACAAAUCCAUGUUUACGUUUGACCAUAAGAAUAGUGUGCUAAUACAAGUUUAAAUAGCAUCUAACACCUCUAUGUAUGUGCCAAACACCACCAAGACCAGUCUCCAAGCAUAUAUGAAAAAGGUGGAGGGUGGUUGUUAGGUUGAUAGCCACUCAUAAUUGAAAAUCAAAGUAUGAAAUAAAACCAAAUUUGAUUUUCAUGACUAUUAGGGCCUCCCCUGUCAUCACUGGAAGUUGCAGUAGAUAAGAAAACAAGGUAAAGACCUAAAUAAGAACACCCAACAAAGGAGGGCAUGUAAAGCCAGCUUCAGAUAGUUAGGACAAGGCUUGAUGGUGGUCUUAGUUAUGCUAUUUGUUGUCUGUGUCAAUUUUAUUGUGCCUGAGAAAGUCAGUGACUACAUUAAUUUGGAAGAUCUUUUAUAAAUUGUUCCUUCUAUAUGCAUUCAAAAACUUCAGAUAUAAGAUGUCAUCAACGAUUGUAGGAUUUGGCAUAGGUUUAAGAAGCUCAACUUGGGCUGAUUCCAAAGGAUUGUCUAGUACAUCACUACGCUCAAGACAUUCAUAGCUGCAGAUGAGCAGUCCACAUAGAAGACAUUGUGGACAAUCUCGAAGACUGUUAUACUCUGGCAGGACCACCUUACGGGUGUUAGCGACAGUAAAGAUCAAGCCCAAGAAUGUGAUAGUUGAAGACACACCAUCAAGAGAAUUGUUGAUUUUGUCAUGCAUAGUUUUCAACUAGUCCCUAGACCUAAAGGCACUGCCAGUCAAUAUUAGUCCAAACUAGUCAGUUUUGGCCAAAGCACCUGAUUGAUCAUUAUUUUAUUACAUAAAUCAUAUCUAGGUUGGAGUAAAAAUAGAAUGUUCAAUGAAGAAAAAAUAUGCCAAGUCGGCGACUUUAUCAGGCAUAGUAUAUGGAUUCAAUAAAAAAAUAAAUUUUACAUUUUUUAAAAAAUAUGUCAAAUAUUAUGCUAGAUUGUUUUCCCAUUACAUUCUAAACAAAUAAAUAGUUUCUAAUGUGUGUUCGCUGAAAUCUAUGACCUUCAUGAUUCAUUAUUGACAUGAUCAGAAACAUCGUAUAUUCAGCAUGUUUGAUAACAGAAUUUUAAGUAUUUUCUGUUUUUAGGCCUUUAUUUACUGUUACCGGAUGUUCUUAUAUGUUUUAAAUGGUUUUCUAUUUGUAUGGUUGAGAUUAAUUCAUAAUCACAAUAAUGAAGAGUCACAAUCAUUGUAAGAUGUGGCAACUUAAAUCAGCAUACAAUUUGUGUCCGGCACUUAUUGCCUGACUGCUAGCAAAUAAAAGAUAAAAGAGAGAAACAAAGAGAGAGAUUUGGGCAUCUGUACAAGUGCACAGAAGCCCAAUUUUUCAUUCUCCAAGCCAUGCAAGCGAUGAUGCUUCAUAGGUAUAUGAUGAACUCAAACAAUAGUGCAAUGUCUGAAUUACACUCUAAGCGAUGCCACCAAUCAUCUCAUCCUUAGAUUUUUGACUUCCUCUAGAUCUUUAAGAACGAAUUUUCAUAGAUCCUUUGAAAAAAAUUGUGCUACUCCACCACCUUUAAAGCAUAGAUUGAUCUAGUCUAUCCAAACAGCUGGAACCUGCUUCUUCUACAAAAUAAAGCUACCCCACUUUCUUAGUAGUUUCCUUUUUCCAACCAUAUCAUUUUUAAGAGAAAAAAUGUUUAGAAAAUUCAAACUUCAAAUUCCACAGGGUCUUUUAUUACUAUAGUUUUCUUCAUGAUGUUAAAUUUCAUUCUUAUGCAACUUUUUCACUUCAGAUAGCUUCACAUCAUGUAAGUUAUAAUAGCAUCAACAUAUCAGGUCUACCAAAGUAUAACUUAGAUUACCAGGGCUUAAAAAAACACCCACAACUUACAUUAUGGAUGAAUCCAACAGUAAUACAGUUAUUCAUGGCAAUCUGGAAAGCUACCAAAUGGAACCACUUCCAGUGAUAAUGAAGUAAAAGAGAAGGCCAGCACAUAACAAGACUAAACAGCUGAAAUUAAAGGGAAAAUUAUAAUAAUUCAUAUUCUUCUAGACCAUAAUGCUAAUAAUCAGACCGAUGAAAAGAUAUUAAUAAGCUAUGCAUACGACACAACAAUGAAAUCUCUUUUUCUCUUUAAUAUAGAUAUCUUAACAGUUUUCACCAAAACAGGGUGACCAACCUGUCUGACUGUAGCUUGAUACAGUUACCAGAACUGCACUAUCAAAUAGAUCAACUUCAUUCUUUCCACAAAGUGAAUAUCAAUGAUGAUAGGAAGACAACAAAACAACAGUCAAAUCCUCAACAUAUAUCACUUGAAAAAAAAAGAAAAAUUGUCAAAUAGCUUAGAGGAUAAGCAAGAAGGAAACAAACAAUUUUGUAAGAGGAUGACAAAAGUGAUCAAGGUAAGAAUUAUGAGAUCCAGGACCUCUCAUUAUUUGUUGAAAGUAACUAGAUGCCCCAAAGGCAUUCCCAACUCACCUAAAGAUGCACGUACCCAUCGUGUCGUGUCAUUGUGCCAAAUAUGCUAGUGACUUCAGCACGUCUGCACAAUUAUAAGUUCUGGGUGGCUACUCAGCCCUUCCAAGACUUCAGAGUACCACAUCCCAAAUACCAACAUUUCCUGCUUCCACACCCAUGUUUUCCUCCCUUUUCUUAGUUUUUUUGGGAGCUAGAACAGGUUUUGUUUUUGGUCUUCAUACAUGCUUUCUUUUUUCUUUCCUUUUUUGGUUCCUUGAGUGAUAUCACUCAAGCUGCUGCUUUUUUAUAGGCCCCUCAUUUUUUUCCCUCUAUCGACCUUUAUUGUUUUUUUUCCUUUUUUUCUUCCCUUCUUUUGUUUCUAAUAAAUCAUACAUGACUUUCAUUCUUUCUUUCUUUUGUUUAUUUUUGACAAAACUUCAUGGAAUCCCAUAUUUUUGGUAACAAAAAACUGGAAGAAUGAAAAUUAACCCUGCGAUUGUUAAACAACCAGUCAAAGAGAGACUUUAGAAUUAAAAACAUAUAUGCACAAAAAUGUAAAGGACCAUUAUGAGAAAUUAAAAAAGUAAAUAAAAGCAGUCAAAAAAAUUUCUUUGUUGCUGAAUGCAAAUCAGGAACCUAGCCACCCAUCCAAUAUAUUAUUUAAAUCAAUAAAAUGAUGAUUAUUUAUAACAGCUGCCAAGAAUUAUUUUAUUAUCUUCAUUCACCUAUAAUCAUAUGGAAUUUUAUCAAUUCUUCCUGAAGCAGAAUAUCAAAAGUUUUGGGAGUGAAGCUUUCUCCCUAAUCUGUUUAAAGCAGGGGGAAACAUUGCAUGCCAGUGAUGAUCAACACUAAUUAUUCAGAGGGUCAAAAAAAAUUCCAUCAGUUAUCGACACAAACAUAUUUUUUCUGAAAAAGCCAUCAGCUAAUGGCAUAUUAAACAUUCAUUUUGCUACAAUUGCAUCUGCAGUAGUAAAAGUCUGAUGCAUGCAGGCAAGCAGGUGGCAGUGCAGGAUGAGCUGGCGCACAAGCUGGCAAACAAGAAAGCAGACGCAUGCUUGCACGCAUUCAAUGUUUUAAGAAGCUGCUGCAGCAUGCAGGUGAUCAAGGGACCACACAGUCCAUACGAGGUAUCCAAGCGACAUAUGUAGUUACCAGUUUUAACUAUUUAAAAAAAAAUAAAAUACAUUAAUGCAAUAAAAACAGCACUAAUAAUUGUAAUGUUUUUGGAUAAAGAACAGUAAUGAUUACUAUCUGGUACUUAAUAUCUAAUGGCAAUAGAUAUACAUAAUGAACAAUAUUAACAUUAUUAAUACCUUUACUAGGCCCACCACACACCACAUCAAACCUAAUUAUCAACUUAGACUUGCUACAUAUGCAAGGGCCCGCAUAAUAAUGGAGUGUUUUUGACUUAGAAUGUUAAGUAGGGCACAUAUGCAGCCACAUAAUGCAAAGUACACUGUUUAUGCUGCUGCCUUGUCCAAAAUGAAACUCUUUUUUUGACCCAUAUGGGCAACGCAAUGUGGUCAAGGGACCACAUAUGUAUAUGGAGGCACAUACAUAUUCGCAUGCGCCAUAUUUUAAAACAAUGAUGCAUUCAUGCCCAAAAUGGACGAGUUUAUGCACAGAGACAAAUAUAAUACAUUAAGUAACUGUAUUCAAAGAAUAUUUAACAUAUAAGAUUUACAAUGCUAGGUUACAGCUUGGAGAAGCAAUAGGUUGAAAUUUUCUGUCAAAGAUGGGUUUUGAGAAUAUAUAUUAAGUUCAAAUUGUACCCCUAGUGGGUUAGAAACCAAUAUGAAUUGUAAGAGUCAAAUAAAUAAAUAGCUAAAAUUAAUUGGACCCUGCAAGCUCUAAGAGGAAGUAUGGCUGCGUAAACUGCCAAAGGAGGAUUAACAGAAAAAACUGCUCCUCGAUUCAAAGAAAGAAUUAAGAAAAAAUGGAUGGCAUUAAUUCUUUCUACUAAAAUUACAUUGUUGAAAGAAGCUAUCCUCCUGGUCUUUAGCAGAGAACAACAACUGCCAGACCAAACAAGCAAUUACUUUAACAAUCAUAAUUGGAUCUUAGUUACCUAAAGCAAAAGUGGGUGCAUAGGUGCAGAUAUGCUUGUAGAUAUGGGGAAACAAAUCUCUUUUUCUCUUCAGAAAAAUAAAUAAUGGAUGUGUUCAGUAAGCAGAUGCAAUAGCGAAACUCCUAAGAAGUUGUAAGAUGUUUGUUGCACUUUAGGCAAAGUUUCUUGCUAUUGAGGAUAAGAUAAUCUUUUUUGUUUUACCUUUCGGACUCAUUUGGUUUGUGGGAAGAAUUUUUCCUCACUAGAAUAUUUUUUUCUGGGAAGCUGAAGCCUAGGUAUAUGAUGUCGGAGAAAGUGGUUUUUGCAUAUUUAGUUGAACAUGAAAAGGUAGCACAUUGCAGAGUGGCUUAUGUUUGAUUGAGCAUCUACUUUCCUCGGAAAGUUAUAUAAAAUAUCUGUUAUGCCCUUAAUAAAAGCAAAAACCAUACCCCAUUCUAUCUAAAAGCUUAAGAGAACUUUUGAAAAAAAAUUGCCCCAUUUGCCAGCCAGUAGGAAUUGAACUUUCCUACAUCGCACAUGGGUUUUUCUUUGUCAUCAAAUGUGGAAAUCUAACCAAAUAUGAGAUAUUUCUCUAUUUUUUCAUUGACCGUACUUUCCCCCCUCCUCUUCCCACAAACCAAAUGGGUCCUUCUUACUUAAGGCAUUCUCCUCUUAUUAUCUCAAGGUAAACCCAAAAACUAUGUUAGAUAGCCAAAACUUAUUUAUGCCACUUUUCUCACUUGUGAGAUGCAAAAACUUCCACAUGAGCAUAUCAAUCCUUGUCCCUCGGGAAACAACCCCCAAACCAAAUUGGACAAUAAGGUACACUACUUUUUAGGCUUUAGCUGAACAAAUUAGCAAAACCUAAGUUUCCCCCUAUUCAUUCCUUCCCAUUGUCAUCUGGAACUUAUUUGCAGAGUUAGUUUCUCCACGGGAGAUCUAAUCUAGGAUGAUACUUCAUCAUCUCCUCACUGUAGUUCUGGAGCCUCUUUUCUAUCUAACACUAGCUAAAACACAGUUGAGUGAGUAAAAUAGAGCACAAAGAAUCAAAGUGGCUCUAUUUUCAGUUCCAACUCACGAUAAAGUCAACUUGGAUUAAGUUUGCUUCUUUGCCCCUCUCUCACUUACAAAACACUGGUAUUUGGCACAUCACCAAAAAGUAGCAAAAGGUAACAACACAAAAAGUAUCCUCAUCUUCUUCUUCUCUUAAAAACAAAGACAGACAUGGGAUCUCCCUUCCUCUCUUAAAAGCAAAGACCAAAACAGGAUACCUCUUUUAUUCUUUUCAUUGUAAAAGAUAAAAAGAGAGAGAAUGAAACAGAGGGGGCAAUGGAAUCCAUUAGGUGGUUUUUCCAUUACUUCCUUCCCUUCCAAACCCAUUCUGACCACUGGAAAAGCUCUGAUUUGCAUUUGCGGCAGGAUAAAUAUCUUCCCCAUUGAAUUACAUUUUUCGCCUUUAUAUGAGGGCUUGAGAGCGUAAUCUAUAGAUUGGGCACAGUAAUGACAAAAACCAUUAUCUUAUAAUGUUAGAAAUCAAGGUAACCCAUAAAAAUUAGUUUCUGAUAGCCCCAUUAGUAUAAAAGCUUCACGUAAUGUUGGUAGCAUGUGCACAACAUCUACAUUUCCUUUUAUCCCAGUAGGUACCAAAUGUUCAAGGGGUUCUACACUAUAUGAUGUAUUGUGCUGGCCUUUGAUUCCACAAGAACAAUACACUAUUUUAAUCCUUACUAAAAGAUAAGCAACAGAGAUAGCCAACAAAAUAUCUCCACAUUUUUUUAUAUUUUAAUAUGGCAAAUGACAAUUUUACUUGGUAAUUGAAAACAUGUCAAAUAUGGAGAUAAGCUGAAUGAUUAAAUAAUUUUGUAAAAGAUAUAAGGACAAUUGAACUCACGUUACCAACAAAAACUGAUCGAGAAUCAACUUCCUCCCUACUUGCUUGAGUCGCAGCAGCACUAGCAGGAUCUGUGGAAGGAAUACAUGUGUAAGGUCAUCAUUGUAUAAACAUCAAUAGCAGAAAAAAAUGAGAAAGAUGAUUAUUGUGUCAAUCAGAAAUGAUUAUGUUAAAAAAAAAGAAACAGACCAAGAAUAAAUGCAAGUUCCAAUUCAUACAAUCUCAGCUGUUUGGGUGGUGCAAGAUAAGCUAAGAUUUUUCACAUUUUCAUUGAAUUCGAUGUUUUAAUGUGCAAAUGUCAAGAAUGCUCUCUAGGUUCUUUUUUGGUUGAAAGAAGAGGAAAAAGAGCACUAUCAAGUUGGUGGAUAAAAAUAUUUAUAACAGGUAAAAAAAUACUAGGUCCACCCUACCUAAAUUGUUGUAUAUUCCAACCCACAUCCAUGAAGUGCCUAUGCAGGCAUGGAGAGAUUAAGGACUCACGGUCCAUUUCCAUUGCAUAGUGAUAAUGUAUAAGUUAAAGUUCAACAUGAUAUAGAACAAGGGAAUAAUAUGACAAAAUCCAUAAGCCAUAUCUUUGGAUAUUUCUCCCCCAAUGUGACAUGCACAUGAAAGUAACAUAAAUUAAUCCCAACAUAUGCAAAAUCAUUUAUUUCAUUUGAUAGCUUUAAUCCCUUAUUUCCUCUCCACCAGACCAAUUGUAUGCAUAGUUAUCAAAACUGAAUUGGACAUCAACCAGGUUAUGGGGUUGUCUAAUUGGGUUAUUAGUGUAACUACCAGGCCAAUCAGUCAAGACUACCAGGCCAAUCAGUCAAGACAGAAAUAUUUAAAAAAUUGAAUUUUUUUGAAUAUUAUAGAAAAUAGAUAUAAUGUAGGAAAAUUUGCAUAACUUAUUGAGAAUUUCUUUUAUUUUAGAUAUUAAAGGUUUGAAACCACCAAAGUGGAUGAAAUGAAUCACAAUUAUUUUUCAUGUGUCGUUAAUAUUAAAAAAAUGGUUUUUAAAAAUUGAUAAACUAAGUCUUGAGAUCGUAGGAUUUGAUUUUGAUAUUCAUAUUUAUGCAUAUAUAUAUGUAUGUAUGUAUACAUAUAUAUGCAUAUAUACAUAUUUAUGCAUAUAUACAUAUAUAUAUAUAUAUACAUAUAUACAUAUAUAACAUAACAUUAAUAUUAAACAAGCCGGCAUUGUGCCUCAUGGGUUGAGAUGGUGUUAAGACUUGCUCUUGGCCAAGGAUCUAGCUUUGAGAAUUGACCAAUUAAAAUUGAAAUUCUCUCUCUCCCUCUUGAGGAAGUGGGGUGCCUGAGUUGCCUGGGUCACUGAACAUGACCAGGUCAAGCGAGAUAUGGUCAAGUCUGGUGGGUUGUACUAGGCCAAAUGCCACAUCAGUCCAGGUAUAAACCUGAACCAGAUUUAGGCUUGGCUUGCUCGGAUAUGCCUAUCUGACCAGCUGAUCCAAUCCAGGCUAAUAACUAUGAUUGUAUUCCAAAUUGCAAUCGAGAUAAUUUUCUGUUGCUAAGUCAAAUAUGGGGAAAAUUGAAUCAAGGAAAAGAUCGAGGGAGGGCAUCUGAUCCAUGUUUUUUGCAUUUUCCUUCUUUCCAACAUGUAAAAGUCGAGUAUGUAUCCUAGCAUUGAUGAAUAUGAAAUGAACAUGAAUAAAUCCAAAAGUUUCUGCUUAAACCAAAGAGAGACAAGAAGUACUUUAAGGGAGAAAUAAUUCAGAAUUUAGGUUUAAUGGACAAUUUUGAAACAUAAUAUUCAGUUACUAUUCUAAAAAUAUAUACAAAACUACUAAAAAUAUAUUCAAUGUAAAAAUACAUAAGCUGCUAUAAAGUUUAAAAUAGCAGUUGUGUCAUAACAUCCUUAUAAUGGAUUUAGAGGGCUCUCAUUAUGUUAUGUAUUCCAAGAAGAGUAUAAGUGAUGCUUGUUAGCAGACUGAUAUUCCAUUCUACAGGCCAUUUUGUAACAGAAUACAACAACCACAUUCAACAACUUCAUUGUUUAAUCUGACACAAUCAUAUUUUUAGUUCAAAAACCGAUGCCAGAUAGGAAUAACUUUUUCUGGUUUGGUGAACCGUGGUUUAAGCAAAUGAUGCAUUUGGUUAUCUUUUAUUUUCCAUUAUUUACCACAGCAACGGAAUAUAAGAGUGCCAAUAUAACAUCCACUGUUUCAUUUCCAGGCAAAUCCAGCAAGGAGUCAACUUAUCAAAUUACAGCCAUUACAUGUUAUAUUCAUGAUAACAUUAAGUAACAGUCUUGGAGGGAGGUCCACUAUUUGCGAACAUUGGCAUCAUUGUAGGUUGUCAUUGAUCAUAUCACAAGAUACCAAUAGCUGUUAAAAUGACUCAAUGUGAGCAUUUGUGAUGAACAUAUCAUGCUUUUCUUAUUGUUAGUUUUGUCAUUAGAAUGUUUGUCUCCAUGAACUUGAUUGCAUAAUAUAUGGCUGCAUCAACACCACCCCCCCCUAGGGAGAAGAAAGGGAGAUAUCAGCUAAGUCAUGGAGUCUGGUAGAUGGAAAUAGUCAAAUAAUCAACCCCCACCCGGGGGUGCAGAGGUGCAAAUGUUAUAAACUAUGAAGAUGAAGAGGAGGGUAAAGAAGCACAUUUUGGUUUUUAGAUGGGUAUGCCGGGAUGCAUGGAUACUCUUGACUCAUUCUAGCAGAUCACAGUAUCAGAAAUGUUAUAAACUAUGAAGAUGAAGAGGAGGUAAAGAAGCACAUUUUGGUUUUUAGUAUGGGUAUGCCGGGAUGCAUGGAUACUCUGACUCAUUCUAGCAGAUCACAGUAUCAGAAAAUGGAUCUAGAGGACGCAAGCAAAAAAAAAAAAAAAAGGAGAACCAAGGCAGGUGAGGUAUGACAAAACAGCAUAAGAGCAGACAUGUGUGAACAAAAUGAAGCUGACAGUGUUUCUUCUGUAUUUAAUUUCGAACAAAACAAAGAUAAUAAGUUCUCUACAGCACAAACUAGAGCCCCUGCCUUCUAUCAUUUCUACAUAAACAAAGACACGAACUUUUGCUGAUUAUACCCACUGAUCAUAACAGAAUUGCGCCUUCUGAGGUGAUAAAACUAAGGCAAGGAACAAAAAACAUAAUUUAGAAACGGAUCAGCUCAAAGUUCAAAUUUUGACGGCAAAACCCGAAAGAUGCUGCUGAGUAUAUCAGUAUACCAUCACCACAAAGCGAUAAUUAGGCGAAAGCAGUUCAAAAAAUGGGCAGUUGACGAAAGAUAAGGCGAUUUGAUCAGUAAUCCGUAUAAAAUCGAAGGAAAUCACAAAACCCUAGAGGAAAGAAUAGAGGAAGGAACCUUGAACGGCGCCCAUCUCCUUCUCGACUUUUGCCUGCAUCUCGCGUAGGGCAGUGGCUUCCUCCUCCAUAUCCUUAAGCCGCUUCUUCAUCUCAUCGAGCUCCUGUAUCGGGGAUCAGCGUCAGCACUAUGGUUACGGUUAGGGUUCAGAGGGAAGGAGAGAGAGGGGGGAGAGAGAGACUUUGACGGCGUCGUCGUCGGCGCGGGUCAUGUCGACGUCGGCGCCGUGGGGAUCGAUGUCGCCCUCCAUCUCCCCCUCGUCGGGGAUGUCUUGGCCGUACACCUCGUGUUCUUCUUCCUCCAUCACUCCGCUGCCCAAAUGCCCAUGGGCUCUCUGUUCAUAUUCCCCGGAACCAUGGUAACACUUGGCACGUUUCGGUCCGAGCCGGCAUCAGGUAACGCGAUUCGCAUUGGAACCGACCCGGUUUUUGGGUUUGAGACCCGUUUUUUAAAAAAAUAGGAGAUAGUAUUUAGCAAAUUUACAGAUAUAUCCCUGUAACUUUUGGCCAAUUACAUUUAAAUCUUAAAAGUUUGGAAACUAUCAACCAUCUAUAUCCGUCAUAAAACAUUAUCAUAUGAGGGUCACUUGAUAACUAAACUUCUGUAAAAUCCUAGAAUUUUUACUCCCACUGAUUUAGCAAGGGACUCUUAUCUUAGUAUGAAUUAAAAAGGAGUACUUUGUGAUCUAUACUGAUAGAUGAAUGAUAUAGAGUACUUUGAGAUUUGUGCAGAUGAUGAAUGAUAGAGGACAGAAGAAAAAGCAAUUUGAGAUCUAUAUAGGUGUAUGGAUGAUGAGGGCUAGAAAUGGGCUCGACUUGGAUCAGGCUAAAGGCUAGGUCCAAAAGAGAUCGGAUCGGAUUUGGCCUUAAAUGUAGAAAAGCUUAUUUGUUUUUCGAGCCAAGCUCGGAUAUAUCAUUAGCCCGGCCUGGGCCUAGCCUAUGCCCAAGCCUAAAUAAGACCAUAAAUUGAGCCCAAAUUCAAGCAUGAAUUCAAGCAUGGAUUGAUUUUUUUUUUUUUAUGUUGUUAUUUAGAGAGAAUUAUGAGGAAGCAAAGAACAAAUUAAAAUAGGUUGAGCUGCGAAUAAUGUAUCAUUUACUUGUAUUACAGAAGAGAGCCCAAUUUUUAGCUAGCUCAUUUAUUUGUGAAGCAAUAUUAUGAAAUAUUAAACUUAAAGUCACAUUCAGGCCAAACAUAUUUUUGGCCUAAAUGGUUAAUUUGGGUUGGCCCAAUCAGGUUUAGGUCAGGCUCGAGCCUGAGCUUGGGUCGGGCUUGGGAUUGGAUUAUCCAAAAAAUUUCGGGCCUAUACUCAACUCGAAGCCUGAAAAAUAAUUCGAGCCAAGUUUGAGUAGGGGCAUGGAGCGGCCCAACCCACUUCCAGCCCUAUGAAUGGUAAAGGAUGUAGUGCUUUGAGAAUGUACAUGCGGAUGGAUGAUAGAGGUGUAGCGCUUUGAGAUCUAUGCAGACGGACGUUUGAUAAAGGAUGGAGUACUUUGAGAUCUAUGCAAGUGGAUGGAAGAUAGGGGAGAGAGUACUUUGAGAUCUAUGCAAGUGGAUAGAAGAUAGAGGAGAGAGUGCUUUGAGAUUUAUACAAGCAUACGGAUGAUAGAAGAUGGAGUGCUUGGAGAUCUAUAUAGCCACAUUGAUGAAGUGGAUAGGGUGCUUUGAGAUUUGUGCGGGUAGGCAAAUGAUAGAACAUGGAGCUCUUUGAGAUCUAUGCAGACAGACAAAUGGCAGAGGAUGGAGUCCUUUGAGAUUUGUGUAGGCAGAAAAUGAUAAAGGAUGUAGCUCUUGGAGAUUUGUGCAGGUGGAUGGAUGACAGAAGAUGGAGUGUUUUGACAUCUGUGUAGGUGAAUGAAUGAUAGAGGAUGAAGUAUUUUGAGAUCUAAGUAGGUGAAUAGACAAUAGAGGAUAGAGCGCUUUGAGAUCUAUACAGAUGGAUGGAUAACGAAGGACAGAUAACAGAGGAUGGAGCACUUUGAGAUAUAUGUAAGUGAAUGGAUAACAGUGGAUGGAGGCCUUGAGAUCUGUGCAGGUGGAUGGAUAUAGUAGAUUAAGUGCUUUAAGAUUUUGUAUAGGUGGAUGGAUGAUAGAGGACGAAACGUUUUGAGAUCUGUACAAAGCAGGUAGAUAAUAAAGGGUGGAGUGAUUUGAAAGCUUUGUAGAUGGAUGAAUAUUAGAGGAUGGAGCACUUUGAGAUCUAUGCAAAUGGAAGAAUAAUAGAGAAUUGAGUGUUUUGAGAUCUAUACAAGUGGAUGAAUCAUAAAGGACAAAGCGCUUUGAGAUCGCAUGAAAGCUAUGAUCUAGCCUCUCUGAAUCAAAGAAACUUUUAUUUUUUUUCUCACUCCAUUAAAGGUGUUAGGAUCCAAACAAAUGGCUGCGCCAUAUUGCAACGAAAAUAAGGUUUUGCUGGCUAAUUGAAACUUUCUAAAUAUUUGGGGUCUAAAUAUAAUUGGCCCAAAUUUGAAGAGAUAUCUAUGUAAUUUUUCUAGUAUUUAAAUUUGCAGAAACAAAAUACAUGAAAUUAUGUCCUUUGGAUGUUUGAAGCAGGGUUUAUUUUGGUCAAUACAUUUUUGACACCAUAACUACUAGUGUAAAUCAAAAUUACAAAGGAUUUCAUUGCAAGCCCAUGUUUUGCCAAUCGGCUGCUUUUGGAAUGAUGUUAUUAAUCACAAUAAUUAUCACAAUUUCAACUCCGGAAACAUAGUAUAAUGUUAGAAAUGUAUACACCACAUCUAGUGGGCUCAUCAAAGGUGGGCCUUGGAAAGUUGCUAAUGGAUCUGCAAAGAGAAUAUCUCUUAUGGACCUAAUGCUAAAAAAAAACCUUAGGUCAAGGAUUAUUAUAUAUAGAUUAAAAGCCAAGGUAAAGAUCAAUUACCAAGGUAUGGACCGGAGAAUAAAAGAUGCAGAUCAAGCUUCAAAGUGCAUGCCGAGUUUUAUCCCAAAUUACAGAUCGAGAAUUAAAAUACAGAUAAAGUGCCAUAGAUGCAGAUCCAUCAUAAGUGCACAGACCUUAUAUAUGGCCAGUCCCAAGGAAACAUACAAAACGCAAAUCAAAAUGGUGGAAGUCUUCAUCCUAAGAUGAGAUGUUUAGUGGAAUAAAACUAAAGGAGAAUAGCUAACUAGCUAUUAUUACUACUCAAAACGUGGGAGGAGUUGGAGUACUACCUAGAACAUAGUAGCGGAGAAAAUGAUAAUUUUUAUGUACAAUGGAUAAUGUGGCACAAAUUAAUUAACGAGCACAAGAGAGUUGAAGAAUGAUAGUUGUCCUAGCAGUUAAAGGAGGUACUAGUAAGUAUCAGAAAGUAACAGAAAUGAGGGGACACUCUCUUUUGGCGCUACAAAAAACUAGAUCUCAUAUCUUUAUUUUUUAUCUUAAUAAUACUUUAUCCCCUAUCAAGUUUUUGUCUUUUUUUUUUUAAUUCUUCAACAUAAUUUCUAUCAUCAGCCCACCUUCUAGGGAUAGCAUCCUAGUAAUAAAAGUUCUUGAUGUUUCAAGGCACUAAAACCAACAUUAUUUCAUAAUCACUUACCAAACCUCUAUCUUGUCCAAUAACUAAUUUGUGGCAUGUCCGUGCAUUCAUCUAGCCAACCUUAUAGAUGUUUUCCUUGUUCUCAUUUUCAAGAGAAAUAAGUCUUGGCAUGCCUAGUGGGACACGGGUAACUACUCGGAUGCUGCUUAAGAAAAUGAAUGAUGUGCUGCUAUUCGACUUUACUCAAGCAUUGUUGCUGAUGAACAGGAGACACCACAAGAAGAGCUAUUGAGACUGGGCUUUUUAGAUAGUUCACUCUGCUUCGGGCCGGCUUUUGAGUUGAAACUCCACUCCUCGGCUUAAGAGCUUUAAUAGCUUCUCUUCGGAGGUUUCUGGCUUUUUUCUAGGUUUUGAAGUGAGGAACCCUCGCGUUAGGCUUUCAAGUUUUCCUGUUCGAGAGCAUAGCUAACAGGCUUCCCAAGGACAAGUAACUACUUUUAGUGGGCAAGCUAGUUCUAAACCAUCAAGAGGUCAUGGUCCUAAAAAUUAGAUACCCAUGUGGUAUCUUUUUAGAAGCAAUCAUCAGCUAAGUAGCUGAUGCNNNNNNNNNNNNNNNNNNNNNNNNNNNNNNNNNNNNNNNNNNNNNNNNNNNNNGGGAGUCCGAGGUCGAUUCCUCAGGGAACGAAAUAUGGAUUAUUAGCGUAAUUUCAGAUGUAAUUUUUAGUUGAUCUUUAGAAAUUAAAAGCAGAGAAUAAUAUGUGAUUAAACAACGUUCAAGAAUAUAGAGAUGGCUAGGGAUCCGGAAUCCUCCUUAACAAUAUUACUUUCAAUAAAUAAACUCGGCGAUUCUUGAUUAAGGAUUAAUAUGAUAAAAUAGUUCUAAUCAUGGAGUAUACAAUCUUAGAACAUGAAUUCAACAUCCAAGUAUUUAUCGUGCCGAUUACGUCUACGAUAAAUCAAGCAUCAAAACAAUCCAUGCAUCAAUAUAUAUAUAAACCAUACAAGAUCUAUCUUAUAGAUGAGUAAGCAAGAAUCAAAAUCAUACCAAUGGAUAUUAAACAAUUAGAAUACAAGUUUAGAGUAUACUUGAUGAAAGCAACAUGCCAAGGGUUCAUCCAUCACCCUUUGCCAAAGGAAUUAGGCUCUCAUUACAAACAUCACCUCUUCCCUAUUUUUUUCUUUUUUUUCUUUUCGGAAACAGGGCAUACCCUGUUUCCUUCUUCUCUUUUCUUUCCCCUGCCGCCGCCCAACUCCUCCCUUCAAUCGCAGAGGCUCCUCUGUUUUCCCGAUGAGAACCCCCAUCCCUCUCAGCCGACUACCUUUUAUAAUCAACUCUCUCCCUCCAUGGAUCUUCGGAAUGCGCUGGAAUCAAUGCUUUAGAGGCAAACGGCUGGGUCUUGGGCGCGUGAGGCUGAGGCGUUGGAGGAGCUGAUCUCGGCCGGAUCCGGCGCUGAGAACGGACGCGAUGGAGGAGGCGGAAUGGCUGGGAUGCUCGGGACUUGAUACGGGAGCUGGGAUCACGGGCUCGGGGCUGAUCGCGGACUGCUAGGAGGUCGCCGAGAUGCGGGUUGAGGCUUAUGAACGGCUGGGAGGCGCUGAUCGCUGUGGAGGAGCGCGAUCUGGAGGACGCCCGGAAGGGAGCUGAUNNNNNNNNNNNNNNNNNNNNNNNNNNNNNNNNNNNNNNNNNNNNNNNNNNNNNNNNNNNNNNNNNNNNNNNNNNNNNNNNNNNNNNNNNNNNNNNNNNNNNNNNNNNNNNNNUGGACGUCGUGCGGAUGCUGGGGAUCCGGAAGCUUGGAUGCGGGCGUUGAUCGUUGGUGAGGUGGAAUCUGGGAGAAUCGCCAAAGACGCUGGCUCACGGAUGCAGGGGAUGAAACUUGGACUCGCGGAGGGUUGAAUUGCGAAUGCUGGGAUGAGCGAACGAACGGGAUGUCUGGAUGGCUGAAAUAUGGCAUGCUCUCCACCGUGCCAAGCAUCUGCUGAUCAUUCUCUAGGCCAUAGGUUGAUGAUGUGUAGUUCUAGGAUGAUCUUUCCUUAGAUGUUUCAUUGCUCGUUCCCUCUGGAUGGUCGCCAAGUGUUGCUCCAGUGUGAUUAGGCUUGGCUGCUACUUGUGGUUGUGGGCUUGAUAAAUGAUAGGUUCGACCACGCCAUAGUGAGAUUGGGUGCGUACGUCUUGGGGCCAUGCAUCUUUCUGAACCCAAUUGUACCAAAUGUGCAUNNNNNNNNNNNNNNNNNNNNNNNNNNNNNNNNNNNNNNNNNNNNNNNNNNNNNNNNNNNNNNNNNNNNNNNNNNNNNNNNNNNNNNNNNNNNNNNNNNNNNNNNNNNNNNNNNNNNNNNNNNNCAUCAGUGGCUAUGGUGUAGAGGCCAUUUGUUGAUUAACUAGAGAGAAGACUUCCUCAACUGCCAUCGCAAAAUAAGUGAAGUUGGUGAAUGUGUUGGCAAAUCAAUAUUAGCCAUUAUAAAGCCCUCAGUCUACCAUUCAAUUGUAAGUUUGACAGGUCAAAGCCUAUAUGCAGUUUCUAAACAAAUUAAUCUGAGCUUACAAGUAUGGGGGUAUAAGGAUAUUGGAGAGGCCAAUCCUCUAGAAGUAUAUGAACUAUGAUAAAGGUGAGGUCGAGUUUUGAAUUGGGGAGUCCUCAGAGUAGGGUCAAGAUGAUCAAGAGAUUGACCCACCAACAAAUGGAAAUGAGCAGGGUCAAAUCAAACAACUACCUAUAGACCCCUCAGCUAAUUAAUGUCAGUCUAAACAUGGAAUCCAGGAUGACUUUGAAUACGGGAAGCCAAGGUCGAUUGGACAAAGAAACCAGACCGCUCUUCGAGCAUCGGUCAAACCUUGAAUAAUGUGGGAAAUGGGGGAGCAAACUUUCACUCUAUAGGUGGGAUUUAUGCCCCAGAAUCCAUGAAUUGGACGGCAAGCACCACACAGAGUCUUGCCAAACCUUUGAGGCCAAUCUCAGGCUAAGCAUAGAACUUAUAACCUGCAUUGGAAUCUGCUGCAUCAGUAAGCCCUAAAUUUGCAUGUCUAGCAUCCCACUCAGAAUUUGAUUAACCCACUUGAUUGAGAUAAAUUCCAUGAAACUUGACUCAGCUGACUGAGCUAAUAAGAGAUUCGUUAGGUUUUGCCUAUUAAUCAAUAACAAGGCCAAUCUACAAGAAUUCUUAUCUAGAAUGGUCUAAUCAAAUCUAUGAGCUAUCUAGGGGACACAGUCCUCGAAUUUUCAAGAUUUUCUGGAGACGAUAACUUGUCUACCAUGGACCACUUAGGUCAAUUUUAAGUUCAAUGUUGAGAAGCUGAGAAUAAUGACAAUCUUAAUCUCGAACUUGUCUACGGAACCAAACACGAGGUGUCAGUAACUAAUUUGACCAGGUUGACUCAACAACAUAGAGAAUCUUGAAAAGUAUAUGGCCAAGUUUGCAUGAGCUAGGAAUAGUUGUUACGCGUCACUUAGGGAGCCUAGUAUGUCAAGAUUAUCUAGAAUUGUUUGAAUCUUAAGCUAAGAAAAAAAUUUGUUGAACAAGAGCUUUCUGAUUUUUUCCAACUUACUAUACAAGCUGCAAACUAUGAAACUAUCUUUAGAGAAGAGGAAUAAAGGAAAAUAUCUAAAGCGAUGUAAAUGGGAGACUCCAAUUAUGAGAUUUCAGCCAUUGAUACUGACCUUAAUCAGUUGACAUCCAAUAAGGAUGAAUGCAAAGGGCUUGAUAUGGCCGAGUUAUUGAUUGGCAAACCAUAUAUGCGUAAGAUCUUGACUGAGCUGAGUGCACAAAGUCAGCCAUCAAAAGAGGUUCAACUAGCUCGAUACCCAUUCAAUAUAACUGAAGGGAGCAGAUCUUUGAACACUUGUUAAAGGAUAGGUCAAUUAAGCUUGUCGAAGAGCACAAGAUAGCAUUUUAUAGUGAUUGCAAAUUUAUCACUGAAACAUGUUAUACCCAUUCAAUAUAAUUGAAGGGAGCAGAUCUUUGAACACUUGUUGAAGGAUAGGUCAAUUAAGCUUGUCGAAGAGCACAAGAUAGCAUUUUAUAGUGAUUGCAAAUUUAUCACCGAAACAUGUUAACCUCUUUUUAUUAAAUUUAGAAAAUCAAGCAUGUUUAUUCUCAAUAUCUUUUUUUUUUUUUUUUGNNNNNNNNNNGGGGGGGGGGGGUUACAAAUGCAAGAUAACGAGCGUGUAUAGAGCUCCAAUUUGUCUAACAAGAUCAAUUUAAAGAGUUAGGGAAGUUAUUUCCCAUUAUGUAGUAUUUUCCACUGAAAAACUCGCCUUUGAGUUAAACAUUAUGCAGAUUAGCUUACUUGCACACAUGCAUAAUUUAAAAAGACUAACUUUUAUAAGAUGAUAUGAGACAAGGGUAGGGCCGAGAUAAUAGAUACAUGGAGAGGAAAUUGCAUAUCAGCCAUAAUAUAUGAUUAGUUAGACCAAAGAACUUGCUCUGCAAGUUUGUAACAUUGGCUCAUCAGCUAUGAAAGUUUCAAGCUUAUAGUUCAUUUGCCCAUGGAAUCAUCCAAUUAUCCAGCCAAGUUCAAACAAAUAAUAUCAGGGAACACCAUGGAAUGAAGCAAUUCUCCUGCCAAGUUCGAUUACAUGAUAUCAUGGUACAAGAAGCAAAAAUAUACACUAAGAUCAAAAUGAUCCAUUAUGAUUAGUAAGCAUACAACAUAUCUCUUUAGAUUUAUCUUUAUGUGAUACAAAAAUUUAUAAAAAAAAUUACAAAAAUUCCUAUAAAAUUAAAAAUAAAUUUUACUUAUAUCUAAUAGUUGAAAAAUUUAUGUUUAUCUUUUCUUGCUUCUCAAAAUAUUAAUCAAAUCAUUAACUUUAAAUAAGAAUGGGCAUCAUGCUCUAUAUUUAAAAAUAAUUUUGAUUUUUUAUAUAAGAUAAAUAAUUUUAUUAAUGUCGUUAUUUUAGUAAGACAUAAAUAUAAAUUUUAUAAAUUAUUAAAUAUAAAUAUAUUUUAAAAAAUUAUAAUUUACUUUAAAAUUUAAUAUAAAACAUCCAUCCGCCUAUCGCUUGUUUGUCUGGGUGUUUCUGGAACCUCCCAGCGCCCCCCACGAACGUUCUCCACUCUUCAUCGUCUUUAACGUUCCAGAACUUUCUGUACUCCUGUAGGCUUCCUUCCCAAGAAACGGAGCGCAUCAACCCCGCCCCCCUUCGCUCUGUAUAAAUACAAAACCCCUUCCCCCUCUCUUUUCCCCUCGAAUCACGCAGGUCAACCUAAAGUUACUCCCAAUUCUUUUCGCGAUCUCUAAGUCUCCAUGGCCGCAAUGAUCGCCAUAGGGAGGGCUCCCGUCUCCAAGCUCCUGGAGAAGCUCCUCGUUUCCCCCGCUCGCCCCUCUGCUGCCGCCGGCUCCCGCCUUUUCAACACCAACACCAGGCUCCUCGACCUAGAUGAUAACCGCAGCCUCGACGUCGACCGCCGCCGUGACGACCUCUCGGGCGCCCCUCGCCGCCGCGGCGACUCUUCCUUCUUCCCCAGCAUCUUCCCAGGUAGUCGUCAUCUCAUUCCCCUUCAUAACUCGUCGAUUCCUUUCCUGAUUAUUUGAUCUCUUUGCCCGAUAAUCGUUUCAAGAUUCUGAAUCGGGUCUGCUUGUGGGGUUUCAGAUGUGCGGGAUCCGUUCACUCCGGCGAGGAGUUUGAGCCAGGUGUUGAACUUGAUGGACCAGAUGCUGGACAACCCGUUCGCGGCGGCGACCCAGGGGGCGAUCGGGGGAUUCCGGCGAGGGUGGGAGGCGAGGGAGGACGGGGACGCGCUGCACCUGAGGAUCGACAUGCCGGGAUUGGGAAAGGAGCACGUGAAGGUGUGGGCAGAGCAGAACACGUUGAUCAUAAAGGGAGAAGGGGAGAAGGAGACGGAGGAGGAGGAGAGCGGUCGAAGGUACAGCAGCCGGAUCGACCUGCCGCCGGAGGCGUACCAGAUCGACCAGAUCCGGGCGGAGAUGAAGAACGGAGUUCUUAAAGUGGUGGUUCCCAAGGUCAAGGCGGAGGAGCGUAAAGACGUUUUCCAAAUCAACAUCGAGUGA